rnacentral:rRNA from 1 species
UACAGGGGUCCCAAGCGUUGUUCGGAUUCACUGGGCGUAAAGGGUGCGUAGGUGGUGAGGUAAGUCGGAUGUGAAAGCUCGGAGCUCAACUCCGAAAUGGCAUUGGAAACUACCUUGCUCGAGGGUUGGAGGGGGGACUGGAAUUCUCGGUGUAGCAGUGAAAUGCGUAGAUAUCGGGAGGAACACCGGUGGCGAAGGCGGCCUUCUGGACGGAUACUGACGCUGAGACGCGAAAGCGUGGGGAGCAAACAGG